AGCUACAUCCGUCACCUGACACGGCCCUACCAGGAACAGCCGCGCUCCCGCGGAUUCUGGUGCUGCUCGCGUCCCCGCUCCCCUAUUCCCCUUAUUUUAUUCCUGGCUCCCCUCGUCGAAAGUCUUCCAUUCUUCAAACUAGAUUAUUUAAAAAUGAAAAAGGAAGAAAGGAAAGCGAGGUCAUCUCAUUGCUCUAUCCGCCAAUCAGGAGGCUGAAUGUCAGUUUUGAACUAAAAGCCGCUCCGCUCCUCUUCUAGAUUUGGAAAACAAGCGAAAUUAAACUAAACCGCUGCACGCCUCUGACGCGACAUCUGGACACGGCGCGGCGCUGGCGCUGCCGGAGCUGUCGACCCGGCCUGGCGCCGGACUAGUGUCCCUUUUGAUGAGAAGAAUAAGCCUCAUUCUGAUUCAACAGCAGAGAUCAAAGAAAAGACUUCUGUUUUCUGGCCACCAGAUAUAUGUUAUCUGUGCUUAAAGAAUUGAAAAACACACAUCAAAGGAGAAUUUUCUUGGAAAGAGAGGGUUCAAGCAUCACUGUUAGGUGUGCUGGAAUCCUUUCCCGAGUCAGUACUGCUUUCUAGAAGAAAACCGGGGAGAUCUAUUUGGAAUGUAUCUAACUCCAAAGAAACCAUCAGAGGUAACAGAUUGGCUUCUCUCACAUGGCAAGAAACAUUGCUGCUAGCACUUCCCGAGUUCUACGUUCUACAACAUCCACCACUGCUAUGUCUCACAGUCCAGACUUGGAGUACAAGUAAUAAGAAGAAUAAAACUUAAUCCCUUAAGUAGAUUCACCAUAAGUUAGCUCAGAGCAAUUCCAGUGCAAGUAUGGUCUGUGAUCCAGUAGUAUCUUACAGACAGCAAGUUGAACAUUGUGGGAUGCAUGAGCUAUUGAGGCCUUUGCAGCUUUCUGCUACAUGGAGGCUAGGGCCAGAGUCAAGAUUUAUGCUUUGCAGCACACUGGUCAGCUGUUUUUGCAAAUCAGAUUAAAUGAUUUUUAAAUGAGGCUGAGAGCAUGGGAGAUACUAAUGUGUGUUUCCUUGUGAGCUACUGCAUAAGUUAGGAAAUUGAAAUACAGAAAGAUGAAAAGUGAUUUGCCCAAGCAUAUAGAUCAAAGCUGUGGCAGAACCAGGACUGGAACCUAUAUCUCUCUACUAAUGGUUUUUUUAAAAAAAUAACCUUGUUUCAAAAAUAUUAAAAAGUCACAAGAAAGGUAAACAUGUGGAUAAACAAAAUGAAGAAAAUAAAAAUUAUCCAGUAAUAACAUA
rnacentral:lncRNA from 1 species